UACGGAAGGCAGCAGUGGGGAAUAUUGCACAAUGGGCGCAAGCCUGAUGCAGCCAUGCCGCGUGUAUGAAGAAGGCCUUCGGGUUGUAAAGUACUUUCAGCGGGGAGGAAGGCGAUGUGGUUAAUAACCGCGUCGAUUGACGUUACCCGCAGAAGAAGCACCGGCUAACUCCGUGCCAGCAGCCGCGGUAAUACGGAGGGUGCAAGCGUUAAUCGGAAUUACUGGGCGUAAAGCGCACGCAGGCGGUCUGUUAAGUCAGAUGUGAAAUCCCCGGGCUUAACCUGGGAACUGCAUUUUGAACUGGCAGGCUUGAGUCUCGUAGAGGGGGUAGAAUUCCAGGUGUAGCGGUGAAAUGCGUAGAGAUCUGGAGGAAUACCGGUGGCGAAGGCGGCCCCUGGGACGAAGACUGACGCUCAGGUGCGAAAGCGUGGGGAGCAAACGAGGAUUAGGAUACC
rnacentral:rRNA from 1 species